rnacentral:rRNA from 1 species
UACGUAGGGUGCAAGCGUUGUCCGGAAUUAUUGGGCGUAAAGAGCUCGUAGGCGGUCUGUCGCGUCUGCUGUGAAAACUCAGGGCUUAACCCUGAGCUUGCAGUGGGUACGGGCAGACUAGAGUGCGGUAGGGGAGGCUGGAAUUCCUGGUGUAGCGGUGAAAUGCGCAGAUAUCAGGAGGAACACCGGUGGCGAAGGCGGGUCUCUGGGCCGUAACUGACGCUGAGGAGCGAAAGCAUGGGGAGCGAACAGG